UGAAGGCAGUCCAGAUAUACAUAAUGUGAAUAUGGUCACAAUCUAUGAUCUGGAUAGAAUAUUACAAUAAGGUUGCAGUCAUUAUUAAUGACCAGGGAUGGGAUGAAAGAUACUGUAUAUAUAUGUACCCUUAACUGCAUGAACUCUGAACUUACAAUACUAUACUGUAGUUAGCAUUUUUUAGUAGUAAAAGGCAUUCAAAACACAUGUCAUUGAUGUUUUUCAACAAUUAUACCCGUAUCUCCAAAUGUCUUCCACCCCACCUCACAACAUUAAUAAUGACUGCUCCCUAUUAAAGCCACUAAACUAUAUUGGCAGGAAAACAUGGACAGAUGGUUGCCCAACAAAAAUAACAUAAAACACACAAAUAUAAAUAAUAAGGUAUAUUUUUCAUCACUACCUGAAUCAAAAAUAAUUUUACCCAAUAUCCGAUUUUUUCCUCUUGUGUUUUUUAACUGAAGAAUCAUUCUUGUUAGCACCUGAUUCUGAGGUUGAGUUAUUUUGGGACUGCACAUCAUGUUUUUUACGUUUCUUCUUUUCUUUUUUACAAGAGUUUUCGUUAAUGUCCAGUACUGUUUCCUCAUGAUUUGUUUUUAGUGAUUUAUUUUUCUUGUUUUCACUGUCUUCAGCACUACCUUCAGAUUGGUCUAAAGACAACCUGUGAUCUUCAGUUGAUCUUGAAUUCCCACUCCUAGAAAAAUAUGAAACAAGCAGAGUU